UUGUGUGAGUGGAUGGAAUGCAUCUGCAUUAGAUGAAAAGCAGAUUAAAUAAGUCCUUGUACCCAGUACCGGCAUCAAAAUAAGACCCAGUACAUAGUACAGUACCAGUCCCAAGAUGAUUCCGGAUGAUUUCCAGACUCCACUGAAGGGGACAAGAACACAGCAUAGCUUCUUUCUCAACAUUUAAUUUGCCAAGACACACAUGGAAUAUCAUAUGCCACUUGCUAAUUAGAGUAGUGUGAAUUAGCUGUGUUAUACAAUGAUUUUUAAAGACCUGAAAUGCCGUACAGUACAGAGUAUUCUGGUGGGUGAUGCAAACUGUAUUUUUGUCACAGUCGUUGUAACAUGUUACUAACUGGUACACAGAAGAUAUGUACUCUCAUCAGUGCUCUCCUGUAAACCCACUGCUUUGGAAAAUGGAGGGGUGGGGAUAGCUCAAAGUUCACUGUUGCUUCCUUUGAAUCCAGGAAGGGGAAUACACAACCUUCCUAUUACAAAAGAUGAAAGGACCUCUUUUAAUGGAUUCUUCCUUUUUUGGGUCAGCCUAAGACUUUUCCGAUUUUAAGAAGUUAUUUAAUGCAGCUGUGUUUUGUCAAUCAAGCCUGAAGUACUUGUUGAACUGCACUGGAAAAGUAUGCAACAAUAAAGGCAAAGAGGUCUGGAAAUCAGUUGAUCCGAGAAAGCUGAUUUUUUAUUUGUUUAGCAGUUUCCGUGAAUAUUAGGUUUCCGAGGAGGGGAUUAGGCAUGCUUCUUCCUAGGUAAUGAGGCA